CGUAGGGGGCAAGCGUUGUAACCGGAUUUAUUGGGCGUAAAGAGCUCGUAGGCGGUUCGGUAAGUCGGCUGUGAAAUCUCCACGCUCAACGUGGAGGGGUUAGUCGAAACUGCCGUGACUCGAGUCCGGUAGAGGAGUGUGGAAUUCCCGGUGUAGCGGUGAAAUGCGCAGAGAUCGGGAGGAACACCCGUAGCGAAGGCGGCACUCUGGGCCGGUACUGACGCUGAGGAGCGAAAGCGUGGGGAGCAAACAGGAUUAGAUACCCUGGUAGUCCACGCCGUAAACGUUGGGCACUAGGUGUGGGACUCUAUCGACGGGUUCCGUGCCGUAGCUAACGCAUUAAGUGCCCCGCCUGGGGAGUACGGCCGCAAGGCUA
rnacentral:rRNA from 1 species